rnacentral:rRNA from 1 species
CAAUAGCGUAUAUUAAAGUUGUUGCAGUUAAAAAGCUCGUAGUUGGAUUUGUGGCGUACGGUGGGUUCCGGGCACUUGUUGUCUGAGUAACUUGCUGUUGCCAUCCUUGGGUGGAACCUGUGUGGCAUUAGGUUGUCGUGCAGGGGAUGCCCAUCAUUUACUGUGAAAAAAUUAGAGUGUUCAAAGCAGGCUUAUGCCGUUGAAUAUAUUAGCAUGGAAUAAUGAGAUAGGACUUUUUUGCUAUUUUGUUGGUUUGCGCAAAGAGGUAAUGAUUAAUAGGGACAGUUGGGGGUAUUCGUAUUCCAUUGUCAGAGGAGAAAUUCUUGGAUUUUUGGAAGACGAACUACUGCGAAAGCAUUUACCAAGGAUGUUUUCAUUAA